CAAUCCCCAAGUGUGGUCUGUAGUCUCUGUGAUGCACCCAAUGAUCCCUGCCUCCCCUUUUGUGUGAUUUCCACCCCUUAAGUAACUUGCUUCUAACCAAUAGGAUAUAGAAACAUUGAGGAGAUAUCAUUUCCAUGAUUAAGUUAUAAAAGAUUGUGACUUCCUGGCAGACUUUGUCUUUCUUGCUAGGUUUGAUGAAGUAAAUUGCAAUGGUGAAGAGGCCCAUGUGGCAAGGAGCUGAGGGUGGCCUCUGAUCAACAGUCAGUGAUAAUCAAGUCCCUCAGAACAACACUCAAGGAACUGACUUCUGCCAAUAACCACGUGGUAGGGAGCCACUGGUGAGAAGAUGUUCGUUAGUAAGUUUUUGCUACAAAGAAUGUUUGCUGGCAUCAGUGAAGAAUGUUUAUCUUUGCUUGCAAAUGAUAUUGCCUGUAUCAUGAAUAACUAUGAGGAGAACACAAAAGGAAAAUUCCAAAAUUUAAAUUUGCACAUUUAUUGCAGUUCCAUGUUUCAAGUGUCUAAUGCCUAUUAAUUCAGAUGCCAUGAUUUUCUUUUCUUCUCCAUGAUCAUUUUGACUUGGAU
rnacentral:lncRNA from 1 species